rnacentral:rRNA from 1 species
GUGGUGUCACAAAAUCGGAGGCCACGACUGUUUACUAAAAACACAAUUCAGAGCAAUGAUGAAAAUCAUAGUAUUCUGGAUGAAAUUUGCCCGAUGCCAUUAACAUAAAAGAGGUAAUGGGAAACUGUUACUAAUUGAAAGUCUGGUUAAUAGCGGUCUUAACUAUGAGGAUCCUAAGGUAGCAAAAUCAGUUGGCCAUUAAAUGUGGUCUGGUAUCAAUAGUGUAACGAUGGUCUCACUGUCUCUACAACUUGCUCAGUGAAAUUGAAUUAUCCGUGCAGAUGC